ACGGGAGGCAGCAGUGGGGGAUAUUGCACAAUGGGGGAAACCCUGAUGCAGCGACGCCGCGUGGGUGAAGAAGUCCUUCGGGAUGUAAAGCCCUAUCAGCAGGGAAGAUAAUGACGGUACCUGACUAAGAAGCCCCGGCUAACUACGUGCCAGCAGCCGCGGUAAUACGUAGGGGGCAAGCGUUAUCCGGAUUUACUGGGUGUAAAGGGAGCGUAGACGGAAUGGCAAGUCUGAAGUGAAAUUAUAGGGCUCAACUCUGUAACUGCUUUGGAAACUGCUGAUCUUGAGUACCGGAGGGGCAGGCGGAAUUCCUGGUGUAGCGGUGAAAUGCGUAGAUAUCAGGAAGAACACCGGUGGCGAAGGCGGCCUGCUGGACGGUAACUGACGUUGAGGCUCGAAAGCGUGGGGAGCAAACAGGAUUAGAUACCCUGGUA
rnacentral:rRNA from 1 species